rnacentral:rRNA from 1 species
AUUGAACGCUGGCGGCAUGCUUUACACAUGCAAGUCGGACGUGUGGCGCACGGGUGAGUAACGCAUCGGAACGUACCGAUUAAUGGGGGAUACCUUUCCGAAAGGUCAGCUCAUCCCGCAUAUUAUUCGUGCGGCCUAUGUCUGAUUAGCUGGUUGGCGGGGUAAAGGCCCACCAAGGCGACGAUCAGUAGCGGGUCUUAGAGGAUGAUCCGCAACACUGGGACUGAGACACGGCCCAGACUCCUACGGAAGGCAGAAGUGGGGAAUUUUGGACAAGGGGCGCAAGCCUGAUGCAGCAAUGCCGCGUGUCUGAAGAAGGCCUUCGGGUUGUAAAGGACUUUUGUCAGGGAAGCGGUACCUGAAGAAUAAGCACCGGCUAACUACGUGCCAGCAGCCGCGGUAAUAC